GACAGUAUAACAGAAGAAGUGAGAGGCCACAUAAAUGAUACACUCAUACUGUGCUUACUCAUAGAUCUGCUGUCAAACAAACCACUGUGCUCCUAGUUUUGAAAUACCAAUGAAGUGUAAGGGAGGCAGCUCAUAAGGCAAGAGAAGUAAAACAUUAUGAUGUCACACUAAAUUAGCUACCAUUCUAGAAGGUCAGUUUUCACUUCUGCAGAAUCAGCAGAUUCUUUAGAAGUUCUACACUGCUAAAUAUCAUAUUUUUGCUCUCAAUGGGAUUUCAAGCUUAAAAGCCUAGGAGUGCUUAGAACUUGCAGUACUAUGCUGAGAACAGCAGCGAAAGCGACAUCCUCGGCGUGCUCCUCACCUGCGGGGGAAGCAUCUCGUCUUUCACCACUAAGAGGGAACCAGCUCAGAUCAAGUGUGCUGCUUUCACCUAUCUGAGAAGCUGCAUAAAGAGGAGCUUCAGAAGUGGUGUGACGGGGAUGAGAGAACAUUCUGGCGUAGGAAGGCUCUGUGGAGUUGGAAGGUAUGGAUGAGGUGCUGGAACACCAUGCUAAGGGAACACAGUGUGCGAGGGAGCUAAGGGAUCCUAAAGACAGAACAAGAGGUUGCAGAAGAGAAGCAAAAAAAGAGACUAGCAGGAUGCCAAAAAUAAACCUGACACAUUUUAAACUUU